UUAACUGAAACCAAAAUUAGAGGUAUAUUAAUGUUAAUAAUAUAAUUGAAUAAUAUAUAUAUUCCAGUUAAG
rnacentral:tRNA from 1 species